GACGAACGCUGGCGGCGUGCUUAACACAUGCAAGUCGAACGGAAAGGCCCUGCUUUUGUGGGGUGCUCGAGUGGCGAACGGGUGAGUAACACGUGAGUAACCUGCCCUUGACUUUGGGAUAACUUCAGGAAACUGGGGCUAAUACCGGAUAGGAGCUCCUGCUGCAUGGUGGGGGUUGGAAAGUUUCGGCGGUUGGGGAUGGACUCGCGGCUUAUCAGCUUGUUGGUGGGGUAGUGGCUUACCAAGACUUUGACGGGUAGCCGGCCUGAGAGGGUGACCGGCCACAUUGGGACUGAGAUACGGCCCAGACUCCUACGGGACGCAGCAGUGGGGAAUAUUGCACAAUGGGCGGAAGCCUGAUGCAGCAACGCCGCGUGCGGGAUGACGGCCUUCGGGUUGUAAACCGCUUUCGCCUGUGACGAAGCGUUAGUGACGGUAAUGGGUAAAGAAGCACCGGCUAACUACGUG
rnacentral:rRNA from 1 species